rnacentral:rRNA from 1 species
CAAUCUUUGACGCAAAUUGCGCUCUUGGGUAGCCCUAGGAGCACGCCUCUCUCAGUAUCGGUUCAACAACCUCUCAGCAGCGUAUGCAAAUACGUGUUGGCUGGCGAAUGAGAGUCGAAUCUUCACACGAUUCGUCUCUUGAAAUACAUCGAGUGAGCAUCAUAUUCUUUUACGCUGCACCUUCGGGUGCAAACUGGUCGAUCGACUGGUCGUAUGGGAGUGACGUGAAUAUUGACCCUUGUGGUCUCACAUUUACGUGUAACUUUCGUCGACUAUUCAAAGUUGAUCAUCAGUGUGAGAGAAGAGUUGCUCAUGUUACGCGGCUUCGGCUGCAAUCGACUAGAAUGAAUAAUUCAAGUCUGAAUUUUGAUCUGAGAUGAAGCGAGACAACCCCCUGAAUUUAAGCAUAUUAAUAAGGGGAGGAAAAGAAACUAACAAGGAUUCCCCCAGUAACGGCGAGUGAAGCGGGAAGAGCUCAAUUUGAAAAUCGACUACCUAAGCGGGUCGUCGAGUUGUAGCCUAGAGACGUACUAUCAGCUGAAACCUGGGUAUAAGUUCUUUGGAAUGAGGCAUCAUAGAGGGUGAGAAUCCCGUAUAGAAACCCCAAAGCUUUCAGCGUACGAUGUAUGUUCAUCGAGUCGAGUUGUUUGGGAUUGCAGCUCUAAAUGGGUGGUAAGUUUCAUCUAAAGCUAAAUAUGGC